UACAGGGGGUGCAAACGUUGCUCGGAAUUAUUGGGCGUAAAGAGCGUGUAGGCGGCCGUACAGGUCAGCUGUGAAAACUCGAGGCUCAACCUCGAGACGUCGGUUGAAACCGUACGGCUAGAGUCCGGAAGAGGAGAGUGGAAUUCCCGGUGUAGCGGUGAAAUGCGCAGAUAUCGGGAAGAACACCCGUGGCGAAGGCGGCUCUCUGGGACGGUACUGACGCUGAGACGCGAAAGCGUGGGGAGCGAACGAGG
rnacentral:rRNA from 1 species